GGAAUUGUUCGCAAUGGGCGAAAGCCUGACGACGCAACGCCGCGUGGAGGAUGAAGACUUUCGGGUCGUAAACUCCUUUCGACCGAGAUGACUACCUGCCGACCUAAUACGUCGGCAGGCUGACAGUAUCGAGGGACGAAGCCCCGGCUAACUCCGUGCCAGCAGCCGCGGUAAUACGGGGGGGGCAAGCGUUCUUCGGAAUUACUGGGCGUAAAGGGCUCGUAGGCGGCCAACUAAGUCGGAUGUGAAAUCCCCAGGCUCAACCUGGGUACUGCAUCCGAUACUGGAUGGCUUGAAUCCGGGAGAGGGAUGCAGAAUUCCAGGUGUAGCGGUGAAAUGCGUAGAUAUCUGGAGGAAUACCGGUGGCGAAGGCGGCAUCCUGGACCGGCAUUGACGCUGAGGAGCGAAAGCCAGGGGAGCAAA
rnacentral:rRNA from 1 species